rnacentral:rRNA from 1 species
AGAGUUUGAUCAUGGCUCAGAUUGAACGCUGGCGGCGUGCUUAACACAUGCAAGUCGAGCGGCAGCGCGGUAGCAAUACUGGCGGCGAGCGGCGAACGGGUGAGUAAUGCUUCGGAAUCUGCCCAGUAGUGGGGAAUAACCAGUCGAAAGACUGGCUAAUACCGCAUACGACCUGAGGGUGAAAGCGGGGGAUCGCAAGACCUCGCGCUAUUGGAUGAGCCGAAGUCGGAUUAGCUAGUUGGUAGGGUAACGGCCUACCAAGGCGACAAUCCGUAGCUGGUCUGAGAGGACGACCAGCCACACUGGGACUGAGACACGGCCCAGACUCCUACGGGAGGCAGCAGUGGGGAAUAUUGGACAAUGGGGGCAACCCUGAUCCAGCGACGCCGCGUGUGUGAAGAAGGCCUGCGGGUUGUAAAGCACUUUUAGUGGGGAGGAAAAGCUCAGACCCAACACGUCUGGGAAUGACUAACCCAAAGAAUAGCCAGCAUCGCCC